rnacentral:rRNA from 1 species
AACACCCAGCACCACCCUACUCCUACGGGAGGCAGCAGUGGGGAAUAUUGCACAAUGGGCGCAAGCCUGAUGCAGCGACGCCGCGUGAGGGAUGACGGCCUUCGGGUUGUAAACCUCUUUCAGUAGGGAAGAAGCGAAAGUGACGGUACCUGCAGAAGAAGCGCCGGCUAACUACGUGCCAGCAGCCGCGGUAAUACGUAGGGCGCAAGCGUUAUCCGGAAUUAUUGGGCGUAAAGAGCUCGUAGGCGGUUUGUCGCGUCUGCCGUGAAAGUCCGGGGCUCAACUCCGGAUCUGCGGUGGGUACGGGCAGACUAGAGUGAUGUAGGGGAGACUGGAAUUCCUGGUGUAGCGGUGAAAUGCGCAGAUAUCAGGAGGAACACCGAUGGCGAAGGCAGGUCUCUGGGCAUUAACUGACGCUGAGGAGCGAAAGCAUGGGGAGCGAACAGGAUUAGAUACCCUGGUAGUCCAUGCCGUAAACGUUGGGCACUAGGUGUGGGGGACAUUCCACGUUUUCCGCGCCGUAGCUAACGCAUUAAGUGCCCCGCCUGGGGAGUACGGCCGCAAGGCUAAAACUCAAAGGAAUUGACGGGGGCCCGCACAAGCGGCGGAGCAUGCGGAUUAAUUCGAUGCAACGCGAAGAACCUUACCAAGGCUUGACAUGAACCGGAAAGACCCUGAAACCAGUCCCC